rnacentral:rRNA from 1 species
UACGUAGGGACCGAGCGUUGUCCGGAAUCAUUGGGCGUAAAGAGCGUGUAGGCGGCCUUUUAAGUCCUGCGUGAAAUCCUGCGGCUCAACCGCAGACGGUCGUGGGAAACUGGAAGGCUAGAGUGCGGGAGAGGAGAGUGGAAUUCCCGGUGUAGCGGUGAAAUGCGCAGAUAUCAGGAAGAACACCCGUGGCUAAGGCGGCUCUCUAGUACGGUACUGACGCUGAGACGCGAAAGCGUGGGGAGCGAACGGG